UACGUAGGGUGCGAGCGUUGUCCGGAAUUAUUGGGCGUAAAGAGCUUGUAGGCGGUUUGUCGCGUCUGCUGUGAAAUUCCAGGGCUUAACCCUGGGCUUGCAGUGGGUACGGGCAGACUAGAGUGUGGUAGGGGAGACUGGAAUUCCUGGUGUAGCGGUGAAAUGCGCAGAUAUCAGGAGGAACACCGGUGGCGAAGGCGGUUCUCUGGGCAUUAUCCUGACGCUGAGGAGCGAAAGUUGUGGGGAGCGAACAGG
rnacentral:rRNA from 1 species